UGUUUACCUUCCACAGAAGGCUGGCUCUAAUCUAAGCUCCUCCAGUUAACCCGAUGUGAAGGCUGGGCCUGAGAUGAGUUGCCAAGGUUGGAGGACAGGAGGGGUGAAGUCCCCCGUUGCCUGUCCUGGCCCGUAUCUAAGGUUCCUCGGUGAAAAGGACUAUCUGCCCUGUCCUGUUCCCACAGCCACUGUCUCCAAGUCUUAGCAAAGACCCAUUACAAGGGUUGCCAGAAGAACAUUCUUGGCAUAGCAGUGGCUGUAAAUGUUUUGCUAUCAGCCUGAUUCUGCAUUCUUGACUAAUAAGGCAAUCUCCUUCCCCAGCACACAUUGCCAUUAUUCACUCUUUCAGCAUUCCUGAUUUUUCUCACAGACGUAUCAACAGCGAGUCAGCAAAGCCUUCAGAAGUCGUCACCAACCGCCCUCAGUUAAUUUUGUUAAACAUGUCUUCCCCGGGACGAGGGCAGGACUGGCAGCUACUGACAGACUUUACAGAGGUGUAGAUCGAGCGGACAGCCAAGGGCAUGUUCCUAGAGCGGAAAUGGCUCAUAGAAAGAGGCAUAAUUUUAAGGGUUCUUUCGAAGACCCUGAUCUGGAGUUCUUUACGGGAAUGGGACCCACUCUCGGGGCCUCACGACCAGCCGCUUCGAUAGCCGGCCUGGGUACUUCAGGGUGCCAGAUUUUCGCGGCCCUGGAAAUGAGCUGAUUCUAGGCCGGUGCCCCUGACUGAGGCGUCGUGGGAGAACGCGGAACAUCAGGAGCAGCGGGUUAGCGUGUCCGGGGUUUGUGUGUCCAGGGACCUGAGCCUUUCUGGGGCCAACUCUCUGAGCACAGAGCUCGGAAAAAGCGAUGCAACAGACUUUUAACAUCAUGAAUCAGAGACAUUUAUGUCUCCCCUCUCGCUGUGAGACGGGGACACCUCCAGAGAGGGAGAAUGUGGUGUGUCAAAUUACCGGGUGAACAAGUAGUCUUUGGGGUACUGAAAGUCUGUGUCUUUAUUGAUGCUUUGCUGCACGCUGGAGUGCUCGGUGGGGGGUGCCGAUGCUUUUUUGCGAGUGUAGGGGUGUCAUUGACUUCCUACUGCUUGUGUGCGGGAGGGGUAGCUGGGGGGAGGCCUUGGCGUUCUACCGUUUAACUGUCAUUCAUUCUCCGGGGCACUUCUCUGUUUCUAUGGAUGUUUGUGAAGAAAAAGAAUCAGGAUGUAUAUUGUAUUCAUUUCUCUGGUAUUAAAUUAAAACCCAUUGCAUUCUCA